rnacentral:rRNA from 1 species
UACUCGAGUGGCGAACGGGUGAGUAACACGUGGGUGAUCUGCCCUGCACUUCGGGAUAAGCCUGGGAAACUGGGUCUAAUACCGGAUAGGAGCCAUUUUUAGUGUGAUGGUUGGAAAGUUUUUUCGGAGUAGGAUGAGCUCGCGGCCUAUCAGCUUGUUGGUGGGGUAAUGGCCUACCAAGGCGGCGACGGGUAGCCGGCCUGAGAGGGUGGACGGCCACAUUGGGACUGAGAUACGGCCCAG